rnacentral:rRNA from 1 species
AACCUCCGCAAUGUGAGAAAUCGCGACGGGGGGAUCCCAAGUGCCAUUCUUAACGGGAUGGCUUUUCAUUAGUGUAAAGAGCUUUUGGAAUAAGAGCUGGGCAAGACCGGUGCCAGCCGCCGCGGUAACACCGGCAGCUCUAGUGGUAACAAUUUUUAUUGGGCCUAAAGCGUCCGUAGCCGGUUUAAUAAGUCUCUGGUGAAAUCCUGCAGCUUAACUGUGGGAAUUGCUGGAGAUACUAUUAGACUUGAGACCGGGAGAGGUUAGAGGUACUCCCAGGGUAGAGGUGAAAUUCUGUAAUCCUGGGAGGACCGCCUGUUGCGAAGGCGUCUAACUGGAACGAUUCUGACGGUGAGGGACGAAAGUUAGGGGCGCGAACCGGAUUAGAUACCCGGGUAGUCCUAACUGUAAACGAUGCGGACUUGGUGUUGGGGUGGCUUUGAGCUGCUCCAGUGCCGAAGGGAAGCUGUUAAGUCCGCCGCCUGGGAAGUACGGUCGCAAGACUGAAACUUAAAGGAAUU